AAUAUGGAUCAAUUCUCUACCCCUUACACUCAUUUUGGCCUGCCAAUUAAAACCAAGAAAACAGAGGUUCUCCACCAACCAACAUUAUACCAAUCCAUACAUGGAAGCAUUGAUGACAGCAAAUGGAGAAAUUUGGAAAACUGUCGAUAAGUUCACUUCCCUUGGCAGUAUGCUUUCCAGGGAUGUACACGGGGAUGACAAGCUUGGAGCAUGCAUUGCGAGAGCAAGCUCAAGAUUUGAGAAGCUCCAAAGGAAAGUGUGGGAGAGAAGAGGUAUCGAUCGGGCUGCCUAUAAAAAUGGAAGUCUACAGAGCCAUGAUGCUGACCUCAUUGUUGCAUAGAGGAUGGUCAUUAAAAAGCAUAGCUGACAAGGUGUACAUAAAGAACUUCCAGUGCAGUGGAGCAGCUCAACCUGCCUGUGAAGGUCCAUUUCAAGUAUUGUUAACAGCUAUCAAAAUUGGAGAAAAGGACUCUUGGAUUCAUUACUCACAGGUAAAACAAGUUCCUUCUAUUGACACUGAUUGACUAUAUCCUGUCACAUGCAUUGGAGAUAAAAGUCCAUAGACAAGUGGACACUGUUUUAGCUGACACUUUGAAUUCCCGAAUCUUUCUCUUUUUUUUGCUUUUCUGUUUAUUUUCAAUAAGGAUAUUUUAUUUUUUCUCUUUCUUCUUUUACUUGAAGUACAUGUAAUCAGUAUUAAUGUUUUUUUUAAUUUUUAAUUAUAAGCUUGCAAUAUCUAUUAGCUAUAAUAUUAAUACAUACCCCAAAAGCUUUAGACUAUGGAAACCUACCAUUGAUUGUUAAAUGUUGUGGGACUUUGAUUAAUAAUUGUGUCUGAUUCCAGAAGAAGGGAUUGCAAAAGAGCCAUUGUACAAUGCCAAGAAGCACAAGGUCAAGAAGACAAACAAUCCUUGUGAGAUUAAUGAAAUCUGUACCAAAAGAGAGGGCUUGUUUGAGGUUCAAGAGAACAGUCCUUUGGCAUAUGUCAGACACAGUUCUUUCCCAUGCCACAUUCUGACAAGUACCUUAGUUUGGCUGUCAUUUUGGUUCCCCUAUACCUGAGAGUGAAGGUAAAAUCAGACCAGGGAAACAUACUUCCCUUUUACAUCAAAAUCUAAUUCCUUUUUUCUCUCUUAUAGUAUGGCAAAUUUCUGUAGUCAUGGCUGACAAUGG
rnacentral:lncRNA from 1 species